rnacentral:rRNA from 1 species
CUGACAAUCCUAGAGAUAGGACGUCCCCUUCGGGGGCAGAGUGACAGGUGGUGCAUGGUUGUCGUCAGCUCGUGUCGUGAGAUGUUGGGUUAAGUCCCGCAACGAGCGCAACCCUUGAUCUUAGUUGCCAGCAUUCAGUUGGGCACUCUAAGGUGACUGCCGGUGACAAACCGGAGGAAGGGGGGGAUGACGUCAAAUCAUCAUGCCCCUUAUGACCUGGGCUACACACGUGCUACAAUGGACAGAACAAAGGGCAGCCAAACCGCGAGGUUAAACCAAUCCCACAAAUCUGUUCUCAGUUCGGAUCGCAGUCUGCAACUCGACUGCGUGAAGCUGGAAUCGCUAGUAAUCGCGGAUCACCAUGCCGCGGUGAAUAC